rnacentral:rRNA from 1 species
GACGAACGCUGGCGGCGUGCUUAACACAUGCAAGUCGAACGGAAAGGCCCUGCUUUUGUGGGGUGCUCGAGUGGCGAACGGGUGAGUAACACGUGAGUAACCUGCCCUUUACUUUGGGAUAACUUCAGGAAACUGGGGCUAAUACCGGAUAGGAGCUCCUGCUGCAUGGUGGGGGUUGGAAAGUUUCGGCGGUUGGGGAUGGACUCGCGGCUUAUCAGCUUGUUGGUGGGGUAGUGGCUUACCAAGGCUUUGACGGGUAGCCGGCCUGAGAGGGUGACCGGCCACAUUGGGACUGAGAUACGGCCCAGACUCCUACGGGAGGCAGCAGUGGGGAAUAUUGCACAAUGGGCGGAAGCCUGAUGCAGCAACGCCGCGUGCGGGAUGACGGCCUUCGGGUUGGAAACCGCUUUCGCCUGUGACGAAGCGUGAGUGACGGUAAUGGGUAAAGAAGCACCGGCUAACUACGUG